rnacentral:rRNA from 1 species
AGCCCAGAGCCUGAAUCAGUGUGUGUGUUAGUGGAAGCGUCUGGAAAGGCGCGCGAUACAGGGUGACAGCCCCGUACACAAAAAUGCACAUACUGUGAGCUCGAUGAGUAGGGCGGGACACGUGGUAUCCUGUCUGAAUAUGGGGGGACCAUCCUCCAAGGCUAAAUACUCCUGACUGACCGAUAGUGAACCAGUACCGUGAGGGAAAGGCGAAAAGAACCCCGGCGAGGGGAGUGAAAAAGAACCUGAAACCGUGUACGUACAAGCAGUGGGAGCCUCUUUAUGGGGUGACUGCGUACCUUUUGUAUAAUGGGUCAGCGACUUAUAUUCUGUAGCAAGGUUAACCGAAUAGGGGAGCCGAAGGGAAACCGAGUCUUAACUGGGCGUUAAGUUGCAGGGUAUAGACCCGAAACCCGGUGAUCUAGCCAUGGGCAGGUUGAAGGUUGGGUAACACUAACUGGAGGACCGAACCGACUAAUGUUGAAAAAUUAGCGGAUGACUUGUGGCUGGGGGUGAAAGGCCAAUCAAACCGGGAGAUAGCUGGUUCUCCCCGAAAGCUAUUUAGGUAGCGCCUCGUGAAUUCAUCUCCGGGGGUAGAGCACUGUUUCGGCAAGGGGGUCAUCCCGACUUACCAACCCGAUGCAAACUGCGAAUACCGGAGAAUGUUAUCACGGGAGACACACGGCGGGUGCUAACGUCCGUCGUGAAGAGGGAAACAACCCAGACCGCCAGCUAAGGUCCCAAAGUCAUGGUUAAGUGGGAAACGAUGUGGGAAGGCCCAGACAGCCAGGAUGUUGGCUUAGAAGCAGCCAUCAUUUAAAGAAAGCGUAAUAGCUCACUGGUCGAGUCGGCCUGCGCGGAAGAUGUAACGGGGCUAAACCAUGCACCGAAGCUGCGGCAGCGACACUAUGUGUUGUUGGGUAGGGGAGCGUUCUGUAAGCCUGCGAAGGUGUACUGUGAGGUAUGCUGGAGGUAUCAGAAGUGCGAAUGCUGACAUAAGUAACGAUAAAGCGGGUGAAAAGCCCGCUCGCCGGAAGACCAAGGGUUCCUGUCCAACGUUAAUCGGGGCAGGGUGAGUCGACCCCUAAGGCGAGGCCGAAAGGCGUAGUCGAUGGGAAACAGGUUAAUAUUCCUGUACUUGGUGUUACUGCGAAGGGGGGACGGAGAAGGCUAUGUUGGCCGGGCGACGGUUGUCCCGGUUUAAGCGUGUAGGCUGGUUUUCCAGGCAAAUCCGGAAAAUCAAGGCUGAGGCGUGAUGACGAGGCACUACGGUGCUGAAGCAACAAAUGCCCUGCUUCCAGGAAAAGCCUCUAAGCAUCAGGUAACAUCAAAUCGUACCCCAAACCGACACAGGUGGUCAGGUAGAGAAUACCAAGGCGCUUGAGAGAACUCGGGUGAAGGAACUAGGCAAAAUGGUGCCGUAACUUCGGGAGAAGGCACGCUGAUAUGUAGGUGAAGCGACUUGCUCGUGGAGCUGAAAUCAGUCGAAGAUACCAGCUGGCUGCAACUGUUUAUUAAAAACACAGCACUGUGCAAACACGAAAGUGGACGUAUACGGUGUGACGCCUGCCCGGUGCCGGAAGGUUAAUUGAUGGGGUUAGCGGUAACGCGAAGCUCUUGAUCGAAGCCCCGGUAAACGGCGGCCGUAACUAUAACGGUCCUAAGGUAGCGAAAUUCCUUGUCGGGUAAGUUCCGACCUGCACGAAUGGCGUAAUGAUGGCCAGGCUGUCUCCACCCGAGACUCAGUGAAAUUGAACUCGCUGUGAAGAUGCAGUGUACCCGCGGCAAGACGGAAAGACCCCGUGAACCUUUACUAUAGCUUGACACUGAACAUUGAGCCUUGAUGUGUAGGAUAGGUGGGAGGCUUUGAAGUGUGGACGCCAGUCUGCAUGGAGCCGGCCUUGAAAUACCACCCUUUAAUGUUUGAUGUUCUAACGUUGGCCCCUGACCGGGGUUGCGGACAGUGUCUGGUGGGUAGUUUGACUGGGGCGGUCUCCUCCUAAAGAGUAACGGAGGAGCACGAAGGUUGGCUAAUCCUGGUCGGACAUCAGGAGGUUAGUGCAAUGGCAUAAGCCAGCUUGACUGCGAGCGUGACGGCGCGAGCAGGUGCGAAAGCAGGUCAUAGUGAUCCGGUGGUUCUGAAUGGAAGGGCCAUCGCUCAACGGAUAAAAGGUACUCCGGGGAUAACAGGCUGAUACCGCCCAAGAGUUCAUAUCGACGGCGGUGUUUGGCACCUCGAUGUCGGCUCAUCACAUCCUGGGGCUGAAGUAGGUCCCAAGGGUAUGGCUGUUCGCCAUUUAAAGUGGUACGCGAGCUGGGUUUAGAACGUCGUGAGACAGUUCGGUCCCUAUCUGCCGUGGGCGCUGGAGAACUGAGGGGGGCUGCUCCUAGUACGAGAGGACCGGAGUGGACGCAUCACUGGUGUUCGGGUUGUCAUGCCAAUGGCACUGCCCGGUAGCUAAAUGCGGAAGAGAUAAGUGCUGAAAGCAUCUAAGCACGAAACUUGCCCCGAGAUGAGUUCUCCCUGACUCCUUGAGAGUCCUGAAGGAACGUUGAAGACGACGACGUUGAUAGGCCGGGUGUGUAAGCGCAGCGAUGCGUUGAGCUAACCGGUACUAAUGAACCGUGAGGCUUAACCUUACAACGCCGAAG